rnacentral:rRNA from 1 species
AUUUUUCGCAAAGGGGGCAACCCUGACGGAGCAACGCCGCGUGGGGGAGGAAUGUCUGUGGAUUGUAAACCCCUUUUUUCAGGGAAGAAGUUCUGACGGUACCUGAGGAAUCAGCAUCGGCUAACUCCGUGCCAGCAGCCGCGGUAAGACGGAGGAUGCAAGCGUUAUCCGGAAUUAUUGGGCGUAAAGCGUCCGUAGGCGGUUGAUCAAGUCUGCCGUUAAAGACUGCAGCUUAACUGUGGGCGAGCGGUGGAAACUGAUGAACUAGAG